UACGUAGGGGGCUAGCGUUGUCCGGAUUUAUUGGGCGUAAAGAGCUCGUAGGCGGUUUCGUUAGUCGGGUGUGAAAACCCCAGGCUCAACCUGGGGACGCCGACCCGAUACUGCGAUGACUAGAGUCCGGUAGGGGAGUGUGGAAUUCCUGGUGUAGCGGUGAAAUGCGCAGAUAUCAGGAGGAACACCAACGGCGAAGGCAGCACUCUGGGCCGGAACUGACGCUGAGGAGCGAAAGCGUGGGUAGCGAACAGG
rnacentral:rRNA from 1 species